rnacentral:rRNA from 1 species
UACGGGGGGGGCAAGCGUUGUUCGGAAUUACUGGGCGUAAAGGGCUCGUAGGCGGCCAACUAAGUCGGAUGUGAAAUCCCCAGGCUCAACCUGGGAACUGCAUCCGAUACUGGAUGGCUUGAAUUCGGGAGAGGGAUGCAGAAUUCCAGGUGUAGCGGUGAAAUGCGUAGAUAUCUGGAGGAACACCGGCGGUGUAGACGGCUUACUGGACCAUGACUGACGCUGAGGCACGAAAGCGUGGGGAGCAAACAGG